rnacentral:lncRNA from 1 species
AACAACGGUCAAACCAAAAGUCAACCAACAAAAUAAAUCAAGAGUAAAUAGAAAAUUAAUCAAGAAAAUUAUGAAAAAUUAAACUAAAUAAGGUGGGGUCAGGACAUCAUCAUCCCCCAAAAAUAUUUCAAAAAUAAUGAAGAUUAGUUCAUAAAUUAAUUGAAAUAAGACAUAAGUCAAACCAAAAGUCAACCAAUCAAAAUAAA